rnacentral:lncRNA from 1 species
GUGCUUACUGCUCCUGACUUCCAUAUAUGAAACCCAGUCAAAAGCUGGAAGAGCAAAGACCAAGAGAAGACGCUUCAAUCCUCCAGAAUCUCCCACACAUGCUCAAGUCAUACCCAAACUGGAAAGUAUCCAAAAGAAAAGAAAAACACCUUGCUCCAUUUGGAAAGAACAACAAAAACAACAACAAAACAACAACUGGGCUUUAUCAACUGCAGUGGGUUUGUAACUUGUAGGUGGGGAAAGUCAACAUUUAUUUCUAUCAGUGCCACUGAUCGGUAGGAAUGCUUGUGACAGUACAGAAGAUGAGGCCAUGCAAGUGUCAACUAGAAACUCUUUUCCAUCUGGAAGCAUGGAUUUAUACAGUAACAGAGUUGAGGUUGCUGUAGAAGUCCAUAUGCACCAGUUCAUUCAUCAGUUCUAACAGAGUUUCCAUUAAAAGAUGUAAGAUGACAUUACCAUUCCAGGUGUUAUGCAGUGCCAAAUAUCUGAAAUGAGUCACAUACUUUGGCACUGGUCCUAGGACACGGGGAAAUUUCCAAAGAAUGGUUCCAUAUAAGUGUCCUUGUGGAUAGCACAUAACAUUGGAGGAGUUGGCCAAAUUCAGUUUGGAAUGUCAAAGUUAGGACUAUUUUUUGUCCAGUAAGGCAGCGUCCCAUGCCAAGAUGUCACCAAUGAGGCUACUUUCACCUUGUCCUCUGCAGGAUUUUUAGGGUGAACCAAACCAAACCGGACUGGGCCAUGUAAUUACAGUAUAAAGACUUAGUAUUGUUUUUCAGAUGCCACCAAAUUAAUUAAAAUAAGGGAACAUGCUUCUCAGACCAAAGGGAUGGAAGAAGACCCUUAAUUAGUGAGUUAUGCAGCUAGAUGAGUUUUCUUCAUUGCCUAUAUAGGCGCUAGAUCAGUGGUUCCCAACCUUGGGUAACCCAGGUCUUCUUAGACUGAAGUUCCCCGAAGCCUCCUGCACCACUAGCUAUGCUAGCUGAGGUUUUUGGGAGUUGCAGUCCAAGAACACCUGGGCCGCCCAAGGUUCAGAACUGUCAAGUUAGAUGAUACCAGAAAUGCUGCUGCUUCUCCUAGAAUGUGGAGAUAUUCUCCUGUGGAACCAGAAGACUUAUUGUCUGUUUUCCAUUGUUUCCCUUGUGGGAAAACAUGCAGAACAUGGUACAAAUCCUGAUGAAACUGUCAAACAUAAGAAUAGCCAUGUGCAUUGAAAAGACACAAGCCAAAAACAAA